UUCUGUGGCAGUCCCUUCAUCCUCUGAGACAUCUGCUCAGUCCCACGGUCUGCUUCUCUUCAAUGCGAACAUCGGCGAGAACUAGUUCAAGCCAGUUUCCCACUAUGUCUGCAAAUUGGAGCUCAGGUCGCCAAGGAACCUGAUUGGUUUUGUCCGCUCAGUGAUUCCUCAGGCCUGGUCUCCACUUCGGUCCCCUGGCAUCUCCCAUCUCAUCUUUCCUUUAGCACCUGUGCGUUGUCACCUGUCACAUGCCAGCUCUCCAAUGCCAGUCGUGAUCACUUCUUCCCCUUCGUAUUUCAUAUCGCAACAGUAAGUGGCAGAUGCGUUCACAUUAGCAGCCUGGUAUCAGCCAAGAAGGGAAUGUCUGAACCCUGAAAAGUAGCCAGCACUGUACCCAGAGCUUUCUCUCCAGAGAGCUGGCUGUUAAACAGUGACCAGCCCUUGGCUAUUUAUAGCCACCUCUUUAAAAGGUCACCUAGCAGCCCUCUGAGGAGAUAACACAGUUCACCUACAUGGUGCUUAUUGUACGCCAGGAACGGGGCACUUUUCCCAUUUGGCCUUUUAGAGACAAGGAAAACAAGCAGAAAGAAUGAAGCUGUCCAGUGACCCACAGCUCGCUCAUAAUGCAACAUCCAGCAGCCGGGCUUCCGCAGCGUUUUUUGCCCCCACAAUGUCCUGCUGUUGCUUUACCUCAGCUCCAACUAACAACUAGGCAACCACCUUUGGAGCCCAGCAUCACUGCAGUUAUACCCAUUUAAAUUUGAUCUUAAAAAAAAAAAAAAAACCCUAACUGGAAGAUUUCAGAGGGAAGUGGAUGUCAGAAGGCCAAUAAUACUCUAAUGCUACAUCACCAUCCCUACGUCACCUCAUCACACAAAUACUGCAAGACAUCACAACACCACGUGAGCACCAGGUUCAGAGCUACAAGAGAAUGAAGGAGCGGAAUGCUUCUCAGCCCCCACCCCUCCCUAGAACUGGCAGAAAAGUGGAGGACUGAGCACCUGUGUCUCUAGGGAGAGAGACGCUGAGAAGCGUGGAAGAUUUGGAACCUGACAGGCAGCAGCCCCGGGCUCCUGUGGCCACUAACCAGCAGGGAUGAGCUAAGGAAGGAAAAUGAGCUUGCAGUUGAGGCCUCUGUCACCAGAUCUCCCUCUUAGCCAUCUGAAACGUUUGUAUUCCUCUAGAUAGACGCACGUGCUCUCCUUUUGUGGCCCCCACAGGGCUAAUGCCACACUUGAGCAUUUUUUGAGGCCAUUUUUCUUUCCCGUGUUUGUGAAUAAAGAAGAAACUGAGGAAGACACGAACUUUGUGCUGCUUUUUUGUUUUCCAGCAGUGACUUGGAGAUCAACGCCAGGUGCCCCUGUAGCACAGAAGCGGCUGUCACGCUUC